rnacentral:rRNA from 1 species
CCUACGGGAGGCAGCAGUGAGGAAUAUUGGUCAAUGGGCGCUAGCCUGAACCAGCCAAGUCGCGUGAAGGAUGACUGCCCUAUGGGUUGUAAACUUCUUUUAUAUGGGAAUAAAAUGCAGUACGUGUACGGCUUUGCAUGUACCUUAUGAAUAAGGAUCGGCUAACUCCGUGCCAGCAGCCGCGGUAAUACGGAGGAUCCGAGCGUUAUCCGGAUUUAUUGGGUUUAAAGGGAGCGUAGGUGGGUUGUUAAGUCAGUUGUGAAAGUUUGCGGCUCAACCGUAAAAUUGCAGUUGAAACUGGCAGUCUUGAGUACAGUAGAGGUAGGCGGAAUUCGUGGUGUAGCGGUGAAAUGCUUAGAUAUCACGAAGAACUCCGAUUGCGAAGGCAGCCUACUGGACUGUAACUGACGCUGAGGCUCGAAAGUGUGGGUAUCGAACAGGAUUAGAUACCCUAGUAGUC